ensembl:lncRNA
AAGCAAGUUACACUACCGCAUCUUCCUCGUCUUUUGAUAUGCAGCUACUGACAUAACCAGGAGCGCUGGUGACAGUGCAGGGGAAGAUGGACAUCCAGAGUGGCAUACAGAUGGCAAUGGAGACUCUCCCCUCCUUCCCCCAACAGUCGGGUACCCAUCAGCAGAGCGAGCCAGAGGACGGCCAGACAGAGGGGAGUGCCAGGCUUACCGCUGACAAUCACAGCAAGGACACCCAGCCAGCUGCUGGCCACCAAGAUGACAAACAAACGGGCGUCUGCGAGGCACUGUGUUCGGCUUUACGUGGCAGAUGGCCGGGCACUCUGCUG